GGGCUCUUCGGAGCUAGUGGCGGACGGGUGAGUAACGCGUGAGAAUCUGCCUCCAGGUCUGGGACAACAGAAGGAAACUUCUGCUAAUCCCGGAUGAGCCCUUGGGUAAAAGAUAAAUUGCCUGGAGAUGAGCUCGCGUCUGAUUAGCUAGCUGGUGUGAUAAAAGCAUACCCAGGCGACUAUCAUAUAGCUGGUCUGAGAGGAUGAGCAGCCGCACUGGGACUGAGACGCGGUCCAGACUCCUUCCGGAGGCAUGAGAGGGGAAUUUUCCCCAAUGGGCGAAGGCCUGACGGAGCAAGACCGCUUGGGGGAGGAAGGCUCUAGGGUUGUAAACCCCUUUUCUUUGGGAAGAAG
rnacentral:rRNA from 1 species